UACGUAGGGUGCGAGCGUUUGUCCGGAAUUACUGGGCGUAAAGAGCUCGUAGGUGGUUUGUCGCGUUGUCCGUGAAAACUCACAACUCAAUUGUGGGCGUGCGGGCGAUACGGGCAGACUGGAGUACUGCAGGGGAGACUGGAAUUCCUGGUGUAGCGGUGGAAUGCGCAGAUAUCAGGAGGAACACCGGUGGCGAAGGCGGAUCUCUGGGCCGUAACUGACGCUGAGGAGCGAAAGCAUGGGGAGCGAACAGG
rnacentral:rRNA from 1 species